CGAGUGUAGCGGUGAAAUGCGUAGAUAUUCGGAGGANCACCAAUUGCGAAGGCAGCUCACUGGGCCGCUAUCGACGCUGAGGAGCGAAAGCUAGGGGAGCAAACAGGAUUAGAUACCCUGGUAGUCCUAGCUGUAAACGAUGGAUACUAGACGUAGGAACUGGAUUGACGGUUUCUGUGUCGUAGCUAACGCGUUAAGUAUCCCGCCUGGGGAGUACGGUCGCAAGACUAAAACUCAAAGGAAUUGACGGGACCCCGCACAAGCGGCGGAGCAUGCGGCUUAAUUCGAUGAUACCCGUAGAACCUUACCUGGACUUGACAUAUAGGGUCUAGCUAUAGAGAUAUAGUGUGCAUUAGCGCCCUAUACAGGUGGUGCAUGGCUGCCGUCAGCUCGUGUCGUGAGAUGUUGGGUUAAGUCCCGCAACGAGCGCAACCCCUGUCCUAUGUUGCCAGCAUUUAGUUGGGGACUCAUAGGAGACUGCCGGUGAUAAACCGGAGGAAGGUGGGGACGACGUCAAGUCAUCAUGCCCCUUAUGUCCAGGGCUGCACGCAUGCUACAAUGGCAAGUACAACGAGUCGCAAUACCGCGAGGUGGAGCAAAUCUCUUAAAGCUUGUCUCAGUUCGGAUAGGAGUCUGCAACUCGACUCCUUGAAGUUGGAGUCGCUAGUAAUCGCAAAUCAGCAAAGUUGCGGUGAAUACGUUCUCGGGGUUUGUACACACCGCCCGUCAAGUCACGGAAGUCGGCAAUACCCGAAGCCAGUGGUCCAACCCUUUUAGGGAGGAAGCUGUCGAAGGUAGGGUCGGUAACUGGGACUAAGUCGUAACAAGGUAACC
rnacentral:rRNA from 1 species